GAUGAACGCUGGCGGCGUGCUUAACACAUGCAAGUCGAACGAGAAGUGGAGACGGAAACCUUCGGGCGGAAGACUUUAUUUCGAGUGGCGGACGGGGGAGUAACGCGUGGGUAACCUGCCUCAUACAGGGGGAUAACAGUUGGAAACGACUGUUAAUACCGCAUAAGACCACAGCAACGCAUGGUGCGGGGGUAAAACCUCCGGUGGUAUGAGAUGGACCCGCGUUCGAUUAGCCAGUUGGCGGGGUAACGGCCCACCAAAGCGACGAUCGAUAGCCGAUCUGAGAGGAUGACCCGCCACAUUGGGACUGAGACACGGCCCAAACUCCUACGGGAGGCAGCAGUGGGGAAUAUUGCACAAUGGGGGAAACCCUGAUGCAGCGACGCCGCGUGAGUGAAGAAGUAUUUCGGUAUGUAAAGCUCUAUCAGCAGGGAAGAAAAUGACGGUACCUGAGUAAGAAGCCCCGGCUAACUACGUG
rnacentral:rRNA from 1 species